UUAUUUAGAAUUUAAUAACCAAAAAGAAACUAAGUUUUUUUUAUA
rnacentral:misc_RNA from 1 species